rnacentral:rRNA from 1 species
UACAGAGGGGGCAAGCGUUGUUCGGAAUUACUGGGCGUAAAGGGCGCGUAGGCGGCCUGCUAAGUCGAACGUGAAAUCCCCAGGCUCAACCCCGGGAACUGCGUCCGAUACUGGCAGGCUUGAAUCCGGGAGAGGGAUGUGGAAUUCCAGGUGUAGCGGUGAAAUGCGUAGAUAUCUGGAGGAACACCGGUGGCGAAGGCGGCAUCCUGGACCGGUAUUGACGCUGAUGCGCGAAAGCCAGGGGAGCAAACGGG